CACCUCAGGCCUUCUCACAGCCUGCUCACUUCUCGGAACGUCCGCGCUCUAGCCGUGACAAGGGUGUGUUUGCCGCAGGGGUCGCCUCCCCUCCAAGCUCCCUCUGCCCUUCUGCCUCCACUCAGAUUGGCAUAUAACUAACCCACAGCUGGGAUAUCUAGUUCCCCAGCCAGGUAUAACUAACUCCCCAGUCGGGUAUAACUAACCCCACAGCUGGUAUUCCUGGACCCAGAGCUAGUAUAACUAACCCCACAGCUGGUAUAACUAGACCCACAGUUGGUAUAACUAGCUCCCCAGCCAGGAUAUAACUAAGUCCCCAUCCAGGGUACAACCAACCCCACAGCUGGUAUAACUAAUUCCACAGUGGGUGUAACUGACCCCACAGGUGGUAUUAACUAGACCCCACAGUGGGUGUAGCUGACCCCACAGGUGGUAUUAACUAGACCCCACAGCUGGUAUAACUGACCCACCAGCUGGUAUAACUGGCCCCACAGCUGGUAUAACUGACCCACAGCUGGUAUAACUGGCCUCACAGUUGGUAUAACUGACCCACAGCUGGUAUAACUGGCCUCACAGUUGGUAUAACUGGCCCCACAUCUGGUAUAACUGACCCACAGCUGGUAUAACUGGCCCCACAUCUGGUAUAAUUGACCCACAGCUGGUAUAACUGACCCACAGUUGGUAUAACUGGCCUCACAGCUGGUAUAACUGAUCUACAGCUAGUAUAACUAACCCAACAACUGGUAUAACUGACCCACAGCUGGUAUAACUGACCUCACAGUUGGUAUAACUGACCCACCAGCUGGUAUAACUGGCCUCAUAGCUGGUAUAACUGGCCUCAUAGCUGGUAUAACUGACCUCACAGUUGGUAUAACUGACCCACAGCUGGUAUAACUGACCUCACAGUUGGUAUAACUGACCCAACAACUGGUAUAACUGACCCACAGCUGAUAUAACUGGCCCUACAGCUGGUAUAACUGACCCACAGCUGGGACGUGCCACCCAGCACCUGUCGCCUUGGUCCUUGCUGAUGGGAAGCUCUUGGCUCACGGGGACCGGGGCUCCAGGCAGAUCCCUCGGGGCGUGGGGGCAGGGACACGCAUCACUCUUGCUCGGUGCACCUUGACCCUGUCACCCUCACUGGAGCCCAGGACCUGCUUCCUAGCAGCACCCCUGGGCGCCCUCACAAAGACCUGGCAACAGCCCCCCUUUUUUAUAAGACGAGUGAGCGUGGAAAACCCACGUCUGCCUGGGGCGGCGUUGCCGUCCGUCUAGGCCAUGCUGCCCCAGAAAGCCCUUCCUGAUGGGUUUCAGAGGGAGCCGUUCCCAGAGGGAGCUCAGAGUUGGUUGUGCUUUUCCGCUGAAACGGUUUACGACAGGGCGGGAGAGCAUUUGAACUUGAGCUGGUGCGGGCCGUCUCUCCCCGCGCAGGAACAGGGUCCGUCCCGCUGCAGCUCUGGUUCCCAGGAAGUUACGGUGAGUUUUCAGAUGUCCCUCAGGAUAAAGGAUGGUAGGGUUUUAACUCAGAUCCAGUGGGUUCUGCACGCAGAUUUGGAUGGUUGGUUCUCCAGGGUGGCAGUGGCCAGGCGCCCUGGGGCGUCACGGGCUUCGCCGCGGUGCCUGGAGGCCCGUCGUCUCGGCUGUGUUCUCAUUCCCUCCCCACACCUGCUUCAGCCCGUCCCCCGGCCCUUUACGUAAAACAGCCUCCAGGGGCCGCUUGAGAUGAGAGGCGUAGCUCGGUCCACGGCUCCCUCCUGGACACGUGAGGGUGGUGCUUUUGCUGUCAGGCCUGGACCCUGCGGCCGCUGCGGCAGGGACGGGAGCUCUAGGUGAGGGCGCCGCGGAGGAAAAGCAGGUUUCAAAGCGUUCCCGAGGAGGCGACUCCCAGGUCAAUCCGGGUUGCUUGCGCGUCUGCUUUUGUUUAUUUGUCCACUUGUCUCGCUUUUCUCUUGUGUGUCUUUGAAGAAGAACCACGGCGUCAGUCGCGUGGCUUCAUACAAACGUUGUUCUGGUCUAGGGCCAGCCUGAGAUUCCGAGGUGGCCCCACAUAAGUCACUGUCUGAACUGCUGCAUUUCUUACAUAGAUUCCAAGAUGCAGGUCAGAUCGUACAACUCAAGCCUGACGUCAGAGGGAGUGUGUGUGCCUCUUGACAGUUAGGGCCCCUGGAGCGACAAUCCUACAUCUUCAGAUGCAUGUCACAAAAAAAAAAAAAAAAAAAAAAAAAAAAAAAAAAA